rnacentral:snRNA from 1 species
GUGCUCGCUUUGGCAGCACAUAUACUAAAA